GCAUAUCAAUAAGCGGAGGAAAAGAAACCAACAGGGAUUGCCCCAGUAACGGCGAGUGAAGCGGCAACAGCUCAAAUUUGAAAUCUGGCCCCAGGCCCGAGUUGUAAUUUGCAGAGGAUGCUUUUGGCGCGGUGCCUUCCGAGUUCCCUGGAACGGGACGCCAUAGAGGGUGAGAGCCCCGUACGGUUGGACACCAAGCCUUUGUAAAGCUCCUUCGACGAGUCGAGUAGUUUGGGAAUGCUGCUCAAAAUGGGAGGUAUAUUUCUUCUAAAGCUAAAUAUUGGCCAGAGACCGAUAGCGCACAAGUAGAGUGAUCGAAAGAUGAAAAGCACUUUGAAAAGAGGGUUAAACAGCACGUGAAAUUGUUGAAAGGGAAGCGCUUGUGACCAGACUUGCGCCCGGUGAAUCACCCAGCUCUCGCGGCUGGGGCACUUUGCCGGCACAGGCCAGCAUCAGCUCGCUGUCGGGGACAAAAGCUUCGGGAACGUAGCUCUCUUCGGGGAGUGUUAUAGCCCGUUGCAUAAUACCCUUCGGUGGGCUGAGGUACGCGCUCCGCAAGGAUGCUGGCGUAAUGGUCAUCAGCGACCCGUCUUGAAACACGGACCAAGGAGUCAACCUUAUGUGCGAGUGUUUGGGUGUCAAACCCCUACGCGUAAUGAAAGUGAACGCAGGUGAGAGCUUCGGCGCAUCAUCGACCGAUCCUGAUGUUCUCGGAUGGAUUUGAGUAAGAGCAUAUAGGGUUGGACCCGAAAGAAGGUGAACUAUGCGUGUAUAGGGUGAAGCCAGAGGAAACUCUGGUGGAGGCUCGCAGCGGUUCUGACGUGCAAAUCGAUCGUCAAAUAUGCGCAUGGGGGCGAAAGACUAAUCGAACCUUCUAGUAGCUGGUUCC
rnacentral:rRNA from 1 species